rnacentral:lncRNA from 1 species
UGAAAAAGGAGGUCUGUUGCCCCCUUUUUUUAAGAAACUCUCUACCAUGAAGAUUCAACUUUUUUUCUUUAUUCUGCACUUUUGGGUCACAAUUUUACCAGCCAAAAAGAAAUAUCCUGAGUAUGGUAGCUUGGACUUGAGGAGAGAGUGCAGAAUAGGUAAUGGUCAAUGUAAAAAUCAGUGUCAUGAAAAUGAAAUUAGGAUUGCUUACUGCAUAAGACCUGGAACUCAUUGCUGCUUGCAGCAGUAACGAUGACAGAAGAAAAGAGUCACAAGCUCCAAGAAGAGAGACCAGCGUUAUUAAGUUUUCCCAGCACAUCCUUCAAGGCGUGUGUGUCUCUAUAAUACACAAGAACUAAAUAAAAAUUAAUGUUGAACCAUUCA